rnacentral:tRNA from 1 species
UGGUUCGUAGCUCAAUGGUGAGAGCACUGGUCUUUUAAACCAGGGGUUGUGAGUUCGAGCCUCACCGGACCAA